UUGGAGAGGUGACAGGACCUUGAUGAGUAUGGGAAGCUUGCCUGGGGGGUUAUUGAACCUGCUGCCUCUGGAGCACUGGGGUGCUGUGCGGACCGGGCAACCCGGUCUCUGUCAUGCAGCUGCGGCGGCAGAGGCAGGGUGACUCAUCCCGUCUGUAACCGAUGGCUCAGGACGACGCAGAUGCCAUAAGUUACUGGGAGCUGCAGAUGAUCCACGAACCUCUUGUGAUGCUGCUGCACGUACAC